rnacentral:rRNA from 1 species
GAUGAACGCUGGCGGCGUGCCUAAUACAUGCAAGUCGAGCGAACAGACGAGGAGCUUGCUCCUCUGACGUUAGCGGCGGACGGGUGAGUAACCCGUGGCUAACCUACCUAUUAGAAUGGGAUUACUUCGGGAAACCGGUGCUAAUACCGGAAAAUAUAUUUAACCGCAUGGUUCAAUUGUGAAAGUCGGUUUUGCUGUCUCUUAUUGAUGGAUCCGCGCCGCAUUAGCUAGUUUGUAAAGUAAAGGCUUACCAAGGCAACUAUGCGUAGCACACCUCUGAGGGUCAUCGGCCACCCUAGCACCCAGACACCGUCCAGACUCCUACGGCAGGCAGCAGUAGGGAAUCUUCCGCAAAGGUCGAAAGCCUUCCGGAGCAACGCCGCGUGAGUGAUGAAGGUCUUCGGAUCGUAGAACUCUGUUAUUAGGGAAGAACAAAUGUGUAAGUAAACAUGCACGUCUUGACGGUACCUAAUCAGAAAGGCACGGCUAACUCCGUG